rnacentral:rRNA from 1 species
AGAGUUUGAUCAUGGCUCAGGACGAACGCUGGCGGCGUGCCUAACACAUGCAAGUCGAGCGGAGAUAGUUUGAUGGUAACUGAUGACUAUCUUAGCGGCGGACGGGUGAGUAACACGUGGGCAACCUGCCUCGAAGUGGGGGAUAACACCGAGAAAUCGGUGCUAAUACCGCAUAACGUACGGAUCUCGCAUGAUAACCGUACCAAAGGAGCAAUCCGCUUUGAGAUGGGCCCGCGGCUGAUUAGCUAGUUGGUGAGGUAAUGGCUCACCAAGGCAACGAUCAGUAGCCGACCUGAGAGGGUGACCGGCCACACUGGAACUGAGACACGGUCCAGACUCCUACGGGAGGCAGCAGUGGGGAAUAUUGCGCAAUGGGGGAAACCCUGACGCAGCAACGCCGCGUGGAGGAAGAAGGUCUUCGGAUUGUAAACUCCUGUCUUCUGGGACGAUAAUGACGGUACCAGAGGAGGAAGCCACGGCUAACUACGUGCCAGCAGCCGCGGUAAUACGUAGGUGGCGAGCGUUGUCCGGAAUUACUGGGCGUAAAGGGCGCGUAGGCGGCUCUUUAAGUCAGAUGUGAAAACCCAGGGCUUAACUUUGGGACUGCAUUUGAAACUGAAGGGCUUGAGUGCAGGAGAGGUAAGUGGAAUUCCUAGUGUAGCGGUGAAAUGCGUAGAUAUUAGGAGGAACACCAGUGGCGAAGGCGACUUACUGGACUGUAACUGACGCUGAGGCGCGAAAGCGUGGGGAGCAAACAGGAUUAGAUACCCUGGUAGUCCACGCUGUAAACGAUGGAUACUAGGUGUGGGAGGUAUCGACCCCUUCCGUGCCGCAGUAAACGCAAUAAGUAUCCCGCCUGGGGAGUACGGCCGCAAGGUUGAAACUCAAAUGAAUUGACGG